UACGGGGGGGGCAAGCGUUGUUCGGAAUUACUGGGCGUAAAGGGCUCGUAGGUGGCCAACUAAGUCGGACGUGAAAUCCCUCGGCUUAACCGGGGAACUGCGUCCGAUACUGGUUGGCUUGAGUUUGGGAGAGGGAUGCGGAAUUCCAGGUGCAGCGGUGAAAUGCGUAGAUAUCUGGAGGAACACCGAUGGCGAAGGCAGCUCACUGGGACGGUACUGACGCUGAGACGCGAAAGCGUGGGGAGCAAACAGG
rnacentral:rRNA from 1 species